rnacentral:lncRNA from 1 species
UUGCAGCCUAUGGGCUUUUUACCAGGAGGGAGAGGAACAAUAUCCCAAGUAUGGUUGGCAUCCAAAGCCUCAAACUCCUUGCUCAUGGCAUCUUGCCAUGCUGGGACUGAUGCAACUUGAGAAUAAUAGAGAGGUUCAGAUUCCAAAGGAGAAGAAGAGGAGGAAGAGCCAGAAAAGGAAGAUAAGUGACAAACAUAAUCAUUGAGAUAAGAGGGAGGAUUAUGUUGCAUGCCAGAUCUUCUGUGGCUAGUAGGAACAGUAGAGGAAGAAAUAGCAUGAGGAGAAGUAUCAGGAUUGAAAAGAGUACUGGAAGCAGAAGGUUAAGAUCAGAAAGUAGUGAGGGAGAAAAAGAAGAGGAAUAGGGAUGGAAGCAGAAGGAAAAGGAGCAGAAGGAGAAGGGCAAAUGGGAACAGACAGAUCAAUCUCAGAAUAGGGAUGCUCAGGGGAAGGGACAGAAGGAGAAGGAGAAAUAGAAGUACCAGAGGUAACAACAGAAGCAGAGUCAAAAGGAAAACAAGUUUCAUGAAAAAUAACAUCCCUAGACACAAAGCACUUUGUAGUUAAGUCAUACAGCCUGUAACCCUUUUUGGCAAAGAGAUAUCCCAAAAAGAUACAAGAAAUGGCUCUAGGCUUCAGUUUAUCUCUCUGUGGGAUUGGCACAGUGGCAUAGGCAAGACAACCAAAUGCCCUUAAAUGUGAAUAAGUAGGAGCCUUCCCAUACAAUAUUUCAUAAGGGGAUUUGUUGUGAAGGAUUCUAGAUAGGAUCCUAUUAAGCAAGUAGGUAGCAGUCAGUAAACAAUCCCCCAAAAAUGGAUAGGUAAUUUGGAUUGAAAAAGUAAAGCUCUACAAGCUCGAAAGUAGGUAGCAGUCAAUAAACAAUCCCCCAAAAAAUGGAUAGGUAAUUUGGAUUGAAAGAGUAAAGCUCUACAGGCUUCAAGGAGGGUCCUAUGUUUUCUUUCAACAAUACCAUUUUGUUGAGGAGUGUGGGGACAUAUAGGUUGAUGAAUAAUGCCCUGUUGGUUGAAAAAAGAGAUACCAUCAAGACUAGACCCCAAUUCCAAACCAUUAUCACUUCUGAUAGUUUGGACAGUAGCAUUAAAUUGAGUCUUAGCCAUACACCGAAAGGACUUAUGAAGGAUGAAAGCAUUGCUUUUAGACCCCAGUAAAUGUGUCCAGGUUGCUCUAGAAAAAUCAUCAACUAUAGUAAGAAAG